AAACAGCAGGGUCAAAUACCAGCUGAGGUAGACAGACAGAUGGCUGUUUUGGAUCACUGUACAGCAUAACAGAUGUCAGAAUUGAGGACCAGAGAACUCUGCCAAAUUAAUUAAGAUUCUUCCACCAGUCUGGAUGGGAAGAAUUGAGCUCCGUAGCAAGGUGUGGCCUCCCUCUGAGAUUGACCAGGAGGGACCACAACCCUCCGCCUGCUGGGCAGAGCCAGGAAGGCCACGCCCUGCCUGCCAGAACUGGAAGGGCAGGACAGGAAGAGGAAAUAUAAAAGGCUGGCCCUGCUGCUCAGUUGGGCUGGAACUACCAAGGGAGAUAGACACAUCCUGCUUGCUUCUGGAUCCCAAAGAGGACCCCAGCCACACCAAGGACUGGCAAGCACUCCCAGGUCACCGGCUGAUGGAGCUGCUGAGGAGCUGCUGGGGUUGCCCCCUGAGGACUGGCCAGAGUCACCAGCCAACCAGGACACCAACGAGCUGCUGCUGGCCACCUGCCCUGGGGAAAUGGAGGACAACUACAAUGUAGAGUGGGGGAGCCUGUGAUUUUGGAACAGAAGUAUGCCAGUUCAUUGUCUGCUGCUGCCGCCAUGAAGCAUAGUGACAAAAAUGAAGUUUGAGGUGAACACAGAUUUGUUACAAUAUUUUGUCAUAUGUUCAAGGGGACUAGACAAACAUGCCUUCCUUUUCAUUGUUCACUUAUUCUAUUAGAGGCUUUAGUCUGUAGACAGAUGUUAACAUACAUGUUUUCUCCAGAGUUCUUUGCAUAA